CCAAUAGCGUAUAUUAAAGUUGCUGCAGUUAAAAAGCUCGUAGUUGAAUUUCGGGACUAAUAUGUCGGUCGUGCCUCGGUACGUACUGGCUUAUUGGUUUCUCCUUUCUGAAGAACCAUGAUGUCAUUUAUUUGGUGUCGUGGGGAAUCAGGACUGUUACUUUGAAAAAAUUAGAGUGUUUAAAGCAGGCACACGCUUGAAUAAAUUAGCAUGGAAUAAUGAAAUAGGACGUUUGAUUCUAUUUUGUUGGUUUCUAGGAUCGACGUAAUGAUUAAUAGGGAUAGUUGGGGGCAUUAGGAUUCAAUUGUCAGAGGUGAAAUUCUUGGAUUUAUUGAAGACUACCUACUGCGAAAGCAUUUGCCAAGGAUGUUUUCAUUAAUCAAGAACGAAAGUUAGGGGAUCGAAGACGAUCAGAUACCGUCGUAGUCUUAACCAUAAACUAUGCCGACUAGGGAUCGGAUGAUGUUAAUUUUUUAAUGACUCAUUCGGCGCCUUACG
rnacentral:rRNA from 1 species